AUGGCGGCCACCGUCGGCAAGGAGAGGGAGGAGGCGGUGGUCCACCCGAACGCGAGGCAGGGGGGCAAGCUCCUCUCCAGGCUGCUCACCAGGGACAGCUCGGCCGCCGCGCCGUCCUUCCGGGUCUACUACGGCGUGGCCUCCGCCGGCGCGGUGCCGUUCCUGUGGGAGUCGCAGCCGGGCACGCCCAAGAACGCCGUCUCCGACGCCGCGAUGCCGCCGCUCACGCCGCCGCCGUCCUACUACGCCGCUGGAGGCACCGCCGCCGCGAAGAAGCACGCGGCGCGCAAGGCCGCCGCCGGGGGCAAGAGGUUCAGGCCGUCCCGCAUCCUGGGCUCCAUCCUCAUGGCGACGCGGAGGCGGGGCCGGACGGCGCCCUCGUCGGUAUCGCCCACCUCAUCCUUCUCCUCCGGGUCGUCCUCGUCCUCCUCGACGUCGUCCUUCCGCCGCGCGGGCGGCAGCAGCAGCAGGCUGCACUCGUCGUCGUCGUCGUCGUUCUCGGACGACGAGGAGACGGCCAUGGCGACGUGCUUCAGGGUGCGGCAGGAGAGCUUUCGGGCGCUCAAGGGCUGCCGCGUCGCCGUGACGGUGAGGAGCGCGCUGGCGUCCGUCGGCGGCGGCCACGGCGCCGCAGUGCAGAGGGUCUAA
rnacentral:rRNA from 1 species